rnacentral:rRNA from 1 species
UCAGGACGAACGCUGGCGGCGUGCCUAAUACAUGCAAGUAGAACGCACAGUUUAUACCGUAGCUUGCUACACCAUAGACUGAGAGUUGCGAACGGGUGAGUAACGCGUAGGUAACCUGCCUGGUAGCGGGGGAUAACUAUUGGAAACGAUAGCUAAUACCGCAUAAAAUGGAUUAUCGCAUGAUAAUUCAUUGAAAGGUGCAAAUGCAUCACUACCAGAUGGACCUGCGUUGUAUUAGCUAGUUGGUGGGGUAACGGCUCACCAAGGCGACGAUACAUAGCCGACCUGAGAGGGUGAUCGGCCACACUGGGACUGAGACACGGCCCAGACUCCUACGGGAGGCAGCAGU